rnacentral:lncRNA from 1 species
UCAGAAUUACUUAUAUGAAUUUUCAGUAGUGAAAUCAUCGAUGGCCUCUCCAGAUCUAUCGGGACCCUUUUAAAUUUACUGUUUCCAUUUGUCAAACUUCUUUGUUAAUUUGUAGAUAAUAUCCAGGGAUUAGACAUUGCAACAUCCUAAGGUGGUUUCACGAAAGAAUCACAACCCUUCUAGUUUCACCCUUAAAUAAAAAGCCUUCAAAUGGCAUGUUCAU